UAACAGAUCUGCAGAGUCAGUGUCUCCCCCAGGAAUUUCCUGAGGGAAAGGGAUAUUCGAAGUUGCAUCAAUCAAAAUGUAACCUACCUUCCUGGCAAGAGUUUAUUUGCAAGAUUCAGAAGUGCCUGUGACUUGCACUCUCUGGGAGCGAGGGAAUGGAUUGUGCUGACACAAGCACAACUAGGCAGUUCAGACCCAAGCCCAGAAGAUCUCCCAAACACUGAAGAGGCCUGGUCAUCCACACUGUGCACUUGUGCUUCUGCACUGCUUUUGGGACCUGCAUCUCCUCAUAGCAAAGCCCUCAACCCUCCCCUCUAGGAGUGCCUGCAGCAGUGAGGCACUGAAGGAAUCCCUAAGGUGUUGGAACAAUGCCAAGAAGGGUGCAUGACUGGAAUGAAAAUGUGUUUUCUCUCCCUCCUCUGUUUCUACAAUCUGAAAUGAAAAGGCAAGGAGGAGACACUGACAAAUCAGCUCUAAUUACCAGUGUCCCUAAAAAUGAGCCUACAGGAGCAGCUUUUUCUGCAAACGUGAGUAUGUGAUAUGAACUUUUUGUUAAGGACCAUAGGCUUGACUCUCAGUUGGAAUAACUCGGCAUAGCUCUAUUGAAUUCAACAGAACUACUCUGACUUACACCAGCUGAGGAUCUGGCCUCAUAUCGUCUCAGAAGUCGGUUAUAUCCGCAAUGAUAAGGAGGAAGAACUAUGUGAAAAUUGGACUGAAAUCCUGGAUUCUUUGCCAGUUGGACUGCAAACUGCUGCGGGAAAACAUGGGGAAGUGCUAUAUUACCAUGAAGAAAUCAAAAAGAACUUGUGACUUUUGAAUGCUUUUAAGAUUCAAAGGAUCAUGAACAAAUGUUUCUUGCUUUUCAGCUUCAAUGAUUUUGGGUACUGGUGCCCUUGUAGUAUUGGCCCUAGACUACCAAUGACAAUGUUCAUUACACAUCCAUUUAUAAAGCACA